rnacentral:rRNA from 1 species
AUACGGAGGAUCCGAGCGUUAUCCGGAUUUAUUGGGUUUAAAGGGUGCGCAGGCGGCCAUUUAAGUCAGCGGUUAAAUCGUGGGGCUCAACCCCAUUCUGCCGUUGAUACUGGGUGGCUUGAUUGCGGUCGAGGUUGGCGGAAUUCGUUGUGUAGCGGUGAAAUGCAUAGAUAUGACGAAGAACACCGAUUGCGUAGGCAGCUGACCAGACCGCAAAUGACGCUCAUGCACGAAAGUGCGGGGAUCGAACAGGAUUAGAUACCCUGGUAGUCCGCACAGUAAACGAUGAAUACUUGUUUUCGGCGAUAUAAUGUCGGAGGCAAAGCGAAAGCGAUAAGUACUCCACCUGGGGAGUACGCCGGCAACGGUGAAACUCAAAGGAAUUGGCGGGG